GAUGAACGCUGGCGGCGUGCCUAAUACAUGCAAGUCGAGCGGACAGACGAGGCGCUUGCUCCUCUGACGUGAGCGGCGGACGGGAGAGUAACGCGUGGAAAACCUACCUAUAAGACUGAUAUAACUACGGGAAACCGGCGCUAAUACCGUAUAAUAUCUUGAAGCGCAGGGGUGGAUGGUAAAAGUCGGCUGUGCUGGAACGAAUCGCUGCAUACGCGCCGCAUUGGCUAGUUGGUAAGGUCACGGCUUACCAAGGCAACGAUGCGUAGCCGAACUGAGGGGGUGAUCGGCCACACUGGAGCUGAGACACCGUCCUGACUCCUACGGGAGGCAGCAGUCGGGAAUCUGCCGCAAUGGGCGAAAGCUUGACGGAGUAACGCGGCGUGAGUGAUGAAGGUCCUCGGUGCGUAAAACUCGGUUAUUAGUGAAGAACAAAUGUGUAAGUAACUAUGCACGGCUUGACGGUACCUAGUCAGAAAGCAACGGCUAACUACGUG
rnacentral:rRNA from 1 species